AUGGCGUCAGGAUGAACGCUGGCGGCGUGCUUAACACAUGCAAGUCGAGCGAAGCACUCUGAGAUCUCGGAUGAUCCUAGUGACUUAGCGGCGGACGGGUGAGUAACGCGUGGGCAACCUGCCUUGUACAGGGGGAUAACAGUUAGAAAUGACUGCUAAUACCGCAUAAGCACACAGCAUGGCAUCAUGCAGUGUGAAAAAACUCCGGUGGUACAAGAUGGGCCCGCGUUGGAUUAGCUAGUUGGUGGGGUAACGGCCCACCAAGGCGACGAUCCAUAGCCGGACUGAGAGGUCGAACGGCCACAUUGGGACUGAGACACGGCCCAGACUCCUACGGGAGGCAGCAGUGGGGAAUAUUGCACAAUGGAGGAAACUCUGAUGCCAGCGACGCCGCGUGAGUGAUGAAGUAUUUCGGUAUGUAAAGCUCUAUCAGCAGGGAAGAAGACGACGGUACCUGACUAAGAAGCCCCGGCUAACUACGUGCCAGCCGCCGC
rnacentral:rRNA from 1 species